rnacentral:rRNA from 1 species
UACGAGGGGGGGCGAGCGUUGUUCGGAAUUAUUGGGCGUAAAGGGUGCGUAGGCGGUUUGGUAAGUCUGAUGUGAAAUCUAUGGGCUCAACUCAUAGUCUGCAUCGGAAACUGCCGGGCUUGAGUGUGGGAGAGGUGAGUGGAAUUCCUGGUGUAGCGGUGAAAUGCGUAGAUAUCAGGAGGAACACCUGUGGCGAAAAGCGGGCUCACUGGACCAUAACUGACGCUGAUGCACGAAAGCUAGGGGAGCAAACAGG